rnacentral:lncRNA from 1 species
AUGCUGCAGGGAAGGCCCUCCAGUCGGCGCCAGCUGGACUUCCUCUUCUUAAAUGGGACCGAGGGGGAAGAGGUCUCAUUUACACCUUUCACACAGAAACCAAAAAGGGGUGGAUCUUCACAGGGGUAUUUGUUUCCUAUCAAAGAUGAUGAGAAAAAGCAUCCAUUGAGCCAGCAUCACAAUAGGCGCCAUGGCAACUGCAUCAUGAAAGAGACUGUCUCCAUGGCAAUUUGAAUGGUACCUCACAAGUAGGUUGAUGAAAGAGAGAAAAAGGAGGAGGGGCUGGAGGAGAUGCCAUGGUGCGUGGGAGAUGAACAGUUACAUAUUAGAUCAUUGAAGAUAAACUUUAGAUUAGAUAGAAACCUUUGGCCCUUUUUAAUCCCGGUAAAGUGUUCAGUUCUUUUCCGUGUGGAAGGAUCAUGACGUUAAGGUCAACCUUUCACUGUCCUUCAGACAACCCUGCGCUCAUCCCGCUGUCACUGCAGCCUCCAUCUUUUUCUCUGCCUCUGUUUCUCUAUGCCAACAUGAUAACGUUGUUACAGCUAUCAAUCAUUCAAAAAAGUAUUUAUUACAAUAUGUGGUAUAGGUUGACCUUGUGGUUGGAUCCAGUCAAGCUGUACCCAUACACAGUUGCUGAUCAGUCCAUCCCAUAAUGUGGACGCUGUAAUUGUGUUUGAUAAUGAUUUGGCCUGUUCAUGAUAUGGCUCCUCUAGCUCUCGCCGUCUCUCCUCAGUAAUGGGCCUCUCCUCAGUGUCAUUGAUAUGAAAAUGAGUCCGAGGAGCUAUGAUGUGUGCCAGGUGCUCAGGACACUCCAGCUGAGCUCAGCCCAGGAGGAGAAGCCCUCGCUUGGGAAACAGCCUCAUACUGGGGGAGGGGGAAUGGUGACCAAACGCACUUGGACAAUCACUCCACCUAAUUCAUAACACACAGGUAGGAGGGGGAGGAGGAGAAACGGG